CACUAUAUGUUAAAAAGUACCCUAUUAAUAACAUUUUAAAUACAAGAUUGAUUGCCUAAUGUUAUGAGGCAAGGAGAGGGGUAUACCGGUCCUCCCCGCUCAAAAUCCUGGCUACAGGCCUGUGUAGUCAGUGCCCCCUUAAGUAAUCCUUGAGUAAUCCUUGAUCCUUCCUUGGGGAUAUAGUUGCUAAAGAACUCUGGCUAUCAUGAUAAGCUUUCUGAAGCAAGCAAGCUUACCCUGGUCUACCAAGGUGGUCCUAUGAACGAAGAAGAAGCAAACCGGUUUGAAUCCCUUUCUGCUUUUAAGGCAAUGGUCAAGAUGAGGUCUUGGGAUGAACAAGCAAAA